CUCAUGGAUAGUUUGAUCCUGGCUCAGGAUGAACACUGGCAGCAUGCUUAACACAUGCAAGUCAUAUGGGAAGUGGUGUUUCCAGUGGUGGACGGGUGAGUAAUGCGUAAGAACCUGCCCUUGGGAGGGGAACAACAGCUGGAAACGACUGCUAAUACCCCAUAGGCUGAGGAGAAAAAGGAGGAAUCCACCCAAGGAGGGGCUCGCGUCUAAUUAGUUAGUUGGUGAGGAAAUGGCUUACCAAUGCGACGAUCAGUAGCUGUUCUGAGAGGAUGAUCAGCCACACUGGGACUGAGACACGGCCCAGACUCCUACGGGAGGCAGCAAUGGGGAAUUUUCCGCAAUGGACGAAAUCUUGACGGAGCAAUGUUGCGUGAAGGAAAAAGGCCCACGGGUCAUGAACUUCUUUUCUCGGAGAAGAAACAAUGAUGGUAUCUGAGGAAUAAGCAUCGACUAACUCUGUGCCAGCAGCUGCGGUAAGAUAGAGGAUGUAAGCGUUAUUCAGAAUGAUUGGGCGUAAAGCAUCUGUAGGUGGCUUUUCAAGUCCUCCGUCAAAUCCCAGGGCUCAACCCUGGAAAGGCGAUGGAAACUACCAAGUUGGAGUAUGGUAGGGGCAGAGGGAAUUUUUGGUGGAGUGGUGAAAUGCGUUGAGAUCGGAAAGAACACCAAUGGCAAAAGAACUCUGCUGGGCCGACACUGACAUUGAGAGAUGAAAUCUAGGGGAGAAAAUGGGAUUAGAUACCCCAGUAGUCCUAACCGUAAAUGAUGGAUACUAAGUGCUGUGCGUAUCGACCCACGUAGUGUUGUAGCUAACACGUUAAUUAUCCCACCUAGGGAGUACGUUCGCAAGAAUGAAACUCAAAGGAAUUGAUGGGGGCCCGCACAAGCGGUGGAGCAUGUCUAUCGUCAGCUCAUGCCGUAAGGUGUUGGGUUAAGUCCCGCAAUGAGCGAAACCCUCGUAUUUAGUUGCCAGCAUUGAGUUUGGAACCCUGAAUAGAUUGCCAGUGAUAAGCCGGAGGAAGGUGAGGAUGACGUCAAGUCAUCAUUCCCCUUACACCCUGGGCGACACACGUGCUACAAUGAUCGGGACAAAGGGUCGCGACCCCGCGAGGGCAAGCUAACCUCAAAAACCCGGCCUCAGUUUAGAUUGCAGGAUGCAACUGGCCUGCAUGAAGCCGAAAUCGCUAGUAAUCGUCGGUCAGCCAUACGACGGUGAAUCCGUUCACGGGCCUUGUACACACUGCCUAUCACACUAUGGGAGCUGGUCAUGCCCCAAGUCAUUACCUUAAAUGCAAGGAGGGGGAUGCUGAAGGCUGGGCUAGUGACUAGAGUGAAGUCGUAACAAGGUAGUCGUACUGGAAGGUGCGGCUGGAUCACCUCCUUU
rfam:Picea glauca, whole genome shotgun sequence.